rnacentral:rRNA from 1 species
CCUACGGGAGGCAGCAGUGGGGGAUAUUGGACAAUGGGGGGAACCCUGAUCCAGCGACGCCGCGUGAGUGAAGAAGUAUUUCGGUAUGUAAAGCUCUGUCAGCAGGGAAGAAAGAAAUGACGGUACCUGACCAAGAAGCCCCGGCUAACUACGUGCCAGCAGCCGCGGUAAUACGGAGGAUGCGAGCGUUAUCCGGAUUUAUUGGGUUUAAAGGGUGCGUAGGCGGAAUGCCAAGUCAGCGGUAAAAUCGCGGGGCUCAACCUCGCUCCGCCGUUGAAACUGGUCUUCUUGAGUGAGCGAGAAGG